UACGUAGGGUGCGAGCGUUAAUCGGAAUUACUGGGCGUAAAGUGUGCGCAGGCGGCAAAGCAAGUCGAGUGUGAAAGCCCCGGGCUUAACUUGGGAAUUGCGCUCGAAACUACUUUGCUGGAGUGUGGCAGAGGAAGGUGGAAUUCCACGUGUAGCGGUGAAAUGCGCAGAUAUCAGGAAGAACACCCGUGGCGAAGGCGGCUCUCUGGGACGGUACUGACGCUGAGACGCGAAAGCGUGGGGAGCGAACAGG
rnacentral:rRNA from 1 species